UACGGAGGGUGCAAGCGUUAUCCGGAUUCACUGGGUUUAAAGGGUGCGUAGGUGGGCAAGUAAGUCAGUGGUGAAAUCUCCGGGCUUAACCCGGAAACUGCCAUUGAUACUAUUUGUCUUGAAUACUGUGGAGGUCAGCGGAAUAUGGUCAUGUAGCGGUGAAAUGCUUAGAUAUGACAUAGAACACCAAUUGCGAAGGCAGCUGGCUACACAAAUAUUGACACUGAGGCACGAAAGCGUGGGGAUCAAACAG
rnacentral:rRNA from 1 species